ACACAUGUAAUACUGUUUUCCCCAAAAUUAAGACCGGAUCUUGUAUUCAUUUUUGCCCCCCAAAAAAUGCACUCAGGCUUAUUUUCGGGAAAAAUACUAGCAAGCAUGUGCUAUUUUCAUGGUAGGCCUUAUAAUUAUGAGCAUCCCUCAAACAUAAGCUAGGACUUAUAUUGGAUACAUUUACACAUAUAAUACACACAGUACAGUUAUAGAUACAUUGUUACGCAUAUAAGGUACAGCUAUAGAUACUAUAAUAAAUCAGGGGUGUUAUACACUCACAGACAUAAGAUGAUUGGAGGCAGAAAGCUAAUAAAUAGACUGGACAUUUCAAUGGUAUUUUGAGUGGAAGAAGAACGGAAAGAACACAGUGCAAACUUGUAUAUAAAAGGGCACACUUUUGAUAUAAAUUGCACUCACAAAAUCAAAGUCAAUCACUGACGCAUCAAAAUCACGCUAUAUAGUUCUCCAGUUAGGGUGAAUUCUUUCCAGGAAUGCAAUAAAGCAGAAGCGAUGACGUAAAUCAAUAAAAUAAAAUGUUAAAAUAAAUGACAAUAAUUGUCUCCAUGUCCUACACAGGGUCAUUCAGAUUGUGACAUAAUCUGUAAAUACCAUUGAAUAGGGAGUCAGAAUAUAGAAGGUGCAGUAUAUAUAUAUAUAUAUAUAAUUAACUUUCUACCUGCAAUCAUCCUAUGUCUGUCAGUGUAUUACACUCCAGAUUUAAAAUGGCGUCUUAAACAUAUUACACUGUUUGUGGUCCUUUCGGUUUUAUUUUUUGUAAAUAGUGUUUGUAUAUUAUUGAAGAUACAGAGGAGUCUUUUUAUUGUCUAUAUUUUAUGUGGAAACAGGUAACUUAAUAUUUUACUGUAUCCCCACCUCUUCUCACUGGUGUCCUUAUUCUGGGUUUUGCUUGUGUAUAUUUACCGGAACUUGUUUUUGCAGAAUAAUACAGACCUACGUUUUACGGGAGGAAGCUGGGACCUUAUCAACAGAGGCUUCAGAUUUUAACAAAGUUAAUCUGAGCAAGCGAGGUGGGAUCAUGGCUUCCUUGUACACAUCCCACGCAGCAGACAGCGGCCUUACUCUAGACUUGUCCUUAGAAAUCAACAGAAAACUGCAAGCGGUGCUGGAGGAUACUUUGCUAAAAAAUAUUACCCUGAAGGUAAGACGGUGUAAAAUCACGUUGGUAGUUUUUUUUUUAUCCCCUCCUCACUGUGCUAGCCCAUGUGCUAUCUGAGAAAAAUGAUCGAACAUAUCAGAAUGAUUUAUUGAAGGUGGCGCACACAUUCCUACCGCUAGGUUUGCUAUCCCACAAUGCUUUGCAGUCAGUCAUACAGUGAAUGCACGCCGUUAUAAUACGUGCGGUCAGGAAAAAUAAGGCUCACAUUGAUUUUAUUGACAAAAAUGUCUCAUAGCUACUUAUUUUUUCUAUCAUCAAGCAUCCCGUUGUUUAAAUAAAUCUAUAGGUAGAUGGUAUAAAUCAAAGCUAAACAUUAGUCACACCUUGUGUUUUGUUUUCAUUGGUGUAUUCACCUACAUGGGUUUGAAACAUGCCGUCCCAUCACGGCACCGAUUUUAUUCUUCAUUUUACAUUCGAUCAGAGGCUGUCAAUUUAUUGUCUCUAUCGUUUUCAUCCUCAGGAGAAUCUGCAAACUCUAGGGAGUGAGAUUGAACGUCUUAUUAAGCACCAACACGAGCUGGAGCGACGACUGUAGCUGCAUCAUCUGUACAAAUACCCGUCGAAGGAACCUGAUCAGACUUUUUACAGAAAACAUUAUUUUAGCAUUAAGCAUGAAGAUAUCCAGACACUCAAUACUAUAUAUAGAUAUAUAUAUUUUUUUUUAUUCCUGAAAAUGCAUAUUCAAAUUAGCAGGGAUUUUGAAUUUAUUUUUCUCUACUCUGUCGACUCAUGUUUAGUUUCAGUCUACCAAGCACUUUGCUCUCGUCAGAGUUAAUUUAUUAUCCUGAAUCCAGACACUCCAGUCUUGUGCUUUACGCUGGGGCCAUUUUAUUUCCUGCGAAGUAUCCUUUAAAUGAAUGAAAGAGAAAUUGCACUAACCAGGAAAAGAAAUUCCUAGCAGAAUUGAAAUCAUUACAGAUUCCGCACUUGUUCUUCCAUUCAGAUGCUCAAUACACUUAGGUCAUUACAUUGUAAUGAGAAUUAUCUGUAUUUUGAAGGGAGGGAGGGAUUAUAAAAAGGACUCCUGUGACCCCGUAAGUUGAAUCAUGUUAAGUUGAGUCUGCUGCAGCUGCAGGGUUGCAGGUAAUUGGGUUACACAAUGUGUAGUCUGAUCGCUUGCUCUCCACCUUGUUAUAUUUUAGGGACCAACAACUUAACCCUUGCAAGUUAUUUAUCAGGUUUUUUAAAAAUGUGUUUUUAUUUCUUUGCUUGCUUGACUGUGAACCUCUUUUUAUACUUUUAUUAUCGGUAGAUAUUCAUGUUUCAUAGUAUUUGGAGGCCCUGCUAUUUAUUGAACGUGGAUAUCCCACGGGUCUGCCACUGAUCAUUACAUGUAACUGGCCACACCAACACACAUUGCCUGUCUUGGGUCCAGACCUAGCCAGCUUCACUAAUCAUCUUUUCAAGCUAGUUAUAGUUUAAUGCUAGCUUUAUAAUACAGGAUAGAUACAUGCCACAGAACAUGUUGGGGUUAUAUCAGCUGAGGAGAUACAAGGACCAUGUGUCAAUUCAUUAUUCGGAAACUCCUGUUCCAAGAUUCAUCAUUUACUAUGAUUUAAUGAUGGAAUGUGCAAUCCUUGCUUAUGGGAGAUGAAUAUCUUACAGACGGGCCCUUUCAUUUCUUGGAGUUGAUUGAAAAGUCACAAAAUCCCACCCUUUUUACACACCCUGCAAAACCUGUAAGCAAGACUUUAAUUGACAGAAACAGGUUCAAAUUCCCAUUACAUUAUAUCCAAUGGUUGAAUGAAAUCUAUAUCUGAGGGAUAUUGACUUUUAUCCCAUUACCCGCACCACCGAGAGCAAUUUCAAACUGAAUGAGAGCUGUGUGCUUUAUUUUUUCUAUGUUAACGUUUAUGUCUGCUUUUUUGUUUGUGUCUUGUCUUUGUUUUCUUGUAGUAAUAUAAGAAAAGCACUUUAAUAAUGUGUUAAUAAAACAGAAAUGUAUUCCCAUGUCCAGUAAAAUAUAACCGGUCUAAUGGCAUAUUAGAUGUGCAGGCGAUAUCAGAAUUUCCCGUUUGCCCGUCCUAAUGAGAGCAGUCCUGUUGAAUGUAAAUGUUCUGCAUACUCUGGCUGUAAGAACCCAUGUAUAUUUACUGGUCCUGCUAGGGAAACUCGGUGACUAGAUCAUGUGCCCAAAGUUGGACUUUUGCUCCCAUAACCCCCAGCCAGUCAGAGUAAAUUGAUUGAAGCUCUCUGUUUGACGAGGGGAGUCUCACCGAUUCUGUAACUAAUUUAGGGCUUUGUGAAGUUGGUGAUGAGGGUGCAGGGCUGUUUUAGAAUAAUGUGGUGGUCCAGUUGUGCAGGAGGCGUGUGUAUUUUGAUUCUGAGCCUCCUGGUUUGUUGGGCGUGCCAUGGUUAACCUCCAUCGUUCUCCAUCCACUUUGCUUGGUCCUGUAGAUAGGAAGGGAGGAUCUCAAUGUGCCUAAUUUGUUUGUGCUUCCAUGUCUGUAGAGUGCAGUUCUGAUUAGACUCACAGAGGGAGAUUAUUCCCCAGUGAGGCUGUCUCUUCGUUUUUUGAGUGGAAGUGAUUUUGUGUUGCACAACGGUUGUGCUGGAAAUUCUUUGUUUUUGAACUUUUUGAGAAAACCUAACAUUAAAUCACUUUGACUUAAUUUGUAUUUCAUGGAAAUCUCCUGUGAGUCUCUUGCAUCCUGUGUUGCAUUUUAUUUUGUUUUAAACAUUUUAUCAUGUCCUAUCUCCAAGAAGAGAGUCUCAAUAAUGUCGGUAUGCAACUCAAAUUGCUGUUUUUAUAAUUCUCUUCCUAGACCUAGAUGGACUCUGCCUUGGAUUCUCUCCACAGUAUUCCCAGAAUGCCAUGCUACAUAUGCAAAUGAACAGAGAGAUUAAGCACUUUUUAGACUUUAGCUCACAUAUGUGUUUGUCUCAUGGCAAUGGCUCACCGUUUUUAAAGCGUUUCUUACAGCAAUGUGUGAGUCAUGAUCCAAUUGGUAGAGAGCCAGCCGUAGACCGCACAAUUUCUUACUUUUAGGACUCCCCAGCAUGGUAUUUGGCAGGUCCAGUGGUGGAAAUCUGUCAACAGAGAACCAAACGUGAUAAAUUCUCCUCACUUUGAAUAUGUAAAUGUAACUUACUUAAAGGUGCAGUCCACCUGUGAAGUGGGGUCAGAUUAUGGGCACACUGGGGGAUGAAGGCGCGUGUCAUAAACUUUUUAACGCAACAGGGGACUCCUGGCACCAUAACCACUGAAGUGUGCAAUGCUGAGUUUUUAUCACUUUGAUUGCACUAUUAUUAUAUAUAAAGAAGUUAUAGUUGUAAAGUGCCAAUAUUUCCCACAGUGUAUUAUAAUCUUGCAUGUGAGCAGGACAUUAUUUGUCCUGUGUCUCUGAGAGAUUGGGCAGGUCCGGUACGGUUCAAAGCAUGCCUUUGUGGAGCUAUCUUGGCAGACACGUCUUCUGGGAUUUAACAUCCUGUAAAUAAUAUUCACUGACGUCCUACAGAUGUGGUAGCAUACUUUAUCAGCAUUCGGUCAUGUGUGUUUUAUUGAGCCAUCGAAAGCAUCAUCCAAGUGUUUGUGUUGGCUUCUGCAGGGAUUGCAGCAAAUGCACAUUUGUUUAUAUUGCCCUAGGGAGGGAGGGGAGCGGGUUGGAUAGGCGCUUGUGAAGUCUGUGUCCCCGAUAUAUUGGUCAUUUUCAUUCCUGCUUUUUUCAAAAACGUAAGCUUGUCCCUUUUUCUAAACGUGUCCAUUACCUACCGCGACUAUAUAUUUGUAGGACAGUCAGAUUCCGCUCUUUAAAGAUUAAAAUCAUUAUGUCCCUGAUGAGUGAAACCAGUGCCGGUUGGAAGACUUGCUUUUAUUAUCACCCCACAACCCCCAUUUUGUGGUCAGUGAUAUUUAUUAAUUAUAUUGCACCCAUUUGCAAGCUGGAAUAAAUGGCUUUUUUUAAGUCUUCUGAUCUAUUCAUACUUCAUAAUGAACCAAUGUAUUUUUAUUUUUUUAUAUAUUUAUUUGCACCAUGUAAAGGUUAUUUGAGGAAUGGCCUUUAAUUAGAUCACGCAAAGUGUUUAUCCAUAACGCAGCGUGAUAUUUAAGAUUUGCGGUUUCUAGCAUCAGCUGGGACAUUCUUGCUGAGCAGGUCUUGUGUUGGAAUGGGGCAAUAAGAUAAGCAACGUUCUGUGCCAAGACCUUGUUUAUUGACCAAGCGUCCUACGUUCUGUGUCUGUUAGUAUGGGUGUAUAAAUCCGUAGCCUAGAACACUAAAUGAAGCCUUUAGCAUCUCUGCCUCUUUAACCCCCGUCCCUUUAUGACAAAAUCCUGGGGUCUGGGCCAAGUAUUAAACACCAUCCUACAUUCCCAUAAAUUAGAUUUUGCUGACUUUUCCAAGAUAAAACGUUUGGGCACCUGUACAAAAUAUGAAUCAAAACUAAAUCAUUUCCAGAAGCCAUGUAACUGCUUAUUAUAGAAAAUGGAUUUCUGGCCUAAAAUAGAGCGUUUCGUGCCACCUGGUAAGUUGGUGAAUAGUUUGUCAUUGAUUAUUUUAUUCUAGAAAGGAAAUCAACCUAAGAAUGUUUCAACCUAAUUGUGUAGAAAAUUGUAUAUUGCAGAUUUUAUUUUUUCACUUCUAUUUAUUGUAUAUAGCUGAAUGCGGGGACAUUACACACCGUUCCAAGCAGUUUAACAAACAUUAAACUUUGUUCCUUGUUUUGUGUUAAAUUGCACAUUAUGUUCAGAGAUGUGGUUACAGUUGUAAUUACAUUUUUAUUUGUUUGCCAAUAAAAAUAGGAUUUUUUUUUUUUUCAUUUCAGGGGUUAUUCUAAACUUGUGAAGAGUGGGCACUGCUUUUAUUUGCGUUAAAUCACUCCGCGUGUGUUUUGCUUUUGUAGAUCGGUUUUAAUAGCUUUCCAAACCAAGUCACCACCUCCUACAUCAGGGGGCACUGACAUUUCUGCCAUCAUGUUAAAUAGGGGGCUUGCAGCCAGUUUGUCAGUUUAGCUACUGACAACGCAUUGUGCUUUGGACUUCGGGCUGACUUUUAACUCUUAAUUUACAUAAGACUGGGUUUUUAUCAAAGUGGGCGAUUCCAGAAUCCCAGGCCAUUGUUUUAGACCCAGUGGACUGUCCAAUUUGGUUUACAAUUAAAAACUGUGCCAAAUUAGCACCUUCAGUACAGUAUCUAUCCAGCAUUUAUUGAUGGCAAUUUUACAGACCGAUAAGUCCCUGCUUGUAACAUGAUCAAAAGCGCUUAUUGUAACUCGUUUACUUCGGCAUGGGAUGCAUUAGUCCCAUCCUUGUCUAACACAGUUAACCCUUUCACUCUUAAAGGAUUGGUUCACCAGAGAGACCUGCACAAUAUACAAAUAUAAACCAUUCUAUUGUAACAGGUUGCGCAGUGAAUUUCCGUAAACUUCGAGAUCAGAAAUUAAAAAUGCUUAAUUGGUACAGAAAAUCAACUAGCAGUCACCUUAGUGUUCCUUUCCUGUUACUAUGAACACAUCUGGAAUAUGACAUAUCGGAAGCACUCCAUAUUUACUGAAAUGAUUAACCUGAACGAUUUACAGUGUAAACUACUUUAUAAACUGAUAACUUUGUAUAAAUUAUUUGAUCUGGUCAAUGAAUGACUUGGUUAUGCCAUAUGUAUAUGUUGUAAUUUUCAAUAAAUUAUGUACAGAUCAACUGAAAACCUUACUUUUAUUUUAUAUUUAAUGAUGAAUGGGCUGAUUGUUGGGGAUCCAGGGAUAAUGACGUCUGACAGGUGAACAUGAG